GUUUGGGUUAAAUUGGUAGAUACAGCAGUGAUAUUGUGUUUAUCUGUGAAUCAGGAGUGUGCUGGAUGUGAAGAGAGGUGUGUAGGUAUUUAUCCAAACGCCAUAGGAAAAAAUAUGGUUAAGACACCACAAUCAAAUGGUACUUAUGAUGAUUGGCACAGUUAUUAUUUAUGUUUGUGUUCGUCAUUGCCUGUGUUUUCAGUCAAGAACUUUCAAGCAAGGAUAUUUUAAGCAGAAGAAGAAGCACUGGACACUAUGCUCAACUGUUGCUGUAAGGAGAAAAAAUAUUGCAGCUAAGAGUGGUGAGAGUUGGAACAAAUGCAUCAGGAGCAGGACACUGUUACGUC